ACGAACGCUGGCGGCACGCUUAACACAUGCAAGUCGAACGAGAGAAGAGAAGCUUGCUUUUCUGAUCUAGUGGCGGACGGGUGAGUAACACGUGAGCAAUCUGCCUUUCAGAGGGGGAUACCGAUUGGAAACGAUCGUUAAUACCGCAUAAUAUAAUUGAACCGCAUGAUUUGAUUAUCAAAGAUUUAUCGCUGAAAGAUGAGCUCGCGUCUGAUUAGCUAGUUGGUAAGGUAACGGCUUACCAAGGCGACGAUCAGUAGCCGGACUGAGAGGUUGAUCGGCCACAUUGGGACUGAGACACGGCCCAGACUCCUACGGGAGGCAGCAGUGGGGAAUAUUGCACAAUGGAGGAAACUCUGAUGCAGCGAUGCCGCGUGAGGGAAGAAGGUUUUAGGAUUGUAAACCUCUGUCUUCAGGGACGAAAAAUGACGGUACCUGAGGAGGAAGCUCCGGCUAACUACGUGCCAGCAGCCGCGGUAAUACGUAGGGAGCGAGCGUUGUCCGGAAUUACUGGGUGUAAAGGGAGCGUAGGCGGGAUCGCAAGUCAGAUGUGAAAACUAUGGGCUUAACCCAUAAACUGCAUUUGAAACUGUGGUUCUUGAGUGAAGUAGAGGUAAGCGGAAUUCCUAGUGUAGCGGUGAAAUGCGUAGAUAUUAGGAGGAACAUCAGUGGCGAAGGCGGCUUACUGGGCUUUAACUAACGCUGAGGCUCGAAAGCGUGGGGAGCAAACAGGAUUAGAUACCCUGGUAGUCCACGCCGUAAACGAUGAUUACUAGGUGUGGGGGGACUGACCCCUUCCGUGCCGCAGCAAACGCAAUAAGUAAUCCACCUGGGGAGUACGACCGCAAGGUUGAAACUCAAAGGAAUUGACGGGGGCCCGCACAAGCAGUGGAGUAUGUGGAUUAAUUCGAAGCAACGCGAAGAACCUUACCAGGUCUUGACAUCGUAUGCAUAGCUCAGAGAUGAGUGAAAUCUCUUCGGAGACAUAUAGACAGGUGGUGCAUGGUUGUCGUCAGCUCGUGUCGUGAGAUGUUGGGUUAAGUCCCGCAACGAGCGCAACCCUUACUGUUAGUUGCUACGCAAGAGCACUCUAGCAGGACUGCCGUUGACAAAACGGAGGAAGGUGGGGAUGACGUCAAAUCAUCAUGCCCCUUAUGACCUGGGCCUCACACGUACUACAAUGGCUGUCAACAGAGGGAAGCAAAGCCGCGAGGUGGAGCAAACCCCUAAAAGCAGUCUUAGUUCGGAUUGUAGGCUGCAACCCGCCUACAUGAAGUCGGAAUUGCUAGUAAUCGCAGAUCAGCAUGCUGCGGUGAAUACGUUCCCGGGCCUUGUACACACCGCCCGUCACGCCAUGGGAGUCGGUAACACCCGAAGCCUGUAGUCUAACCGCAAGGAGGACGCAGUCGAAGGUGGGAUUGAUGACUGGGGUG
rnacentral:rRNA from 1 species